UUCAACCGAAAAAACAAAUGGUAAUCUUGUUAAGCCCAUUAUUGAGCAUCAGGGGAUGAAAAUAUUUGUUUCUAACAUUCGUAAUGGUUAGGAAAAUAUGAAGAGGAUAUAAAUUAAAACAAUUGUAACCUGUAUAUUAAAAUAUUGGUAGAAGAGUCCAAGGGAUGAAAAUUGAAUUGUGACUUAAGAGAUGAAAAAUAUAUUACCGGGAGUUACAAAGUUAACUAUUGUGUAUUUUUGUAUUCUCCUUAUUAUAAUAUAGUAAGC
rnacentral:lncRNA from 1 species